rnacentral:rRNA from 1 species
ACGCGCAGAACCUUACCUACCCUUGACAUGCCGGGAAUCCUGCCCAGAGGCGGGAGUGCCUUCGGGAACCCGGACACAGGUGCUGCAUGGCUGUCGUCAGCUCGUGUCGUGAGAUGUUGGGUUAAGUCCCGCAACGAGCGCAACCCCCUGUCGAUAGUUGCCAUCAUUUGGUUGGGCACUCUAUCGAGACUGCCGGUGACAAACCGGAGGAAGGUGGGGAUGACGUCAAGUCCUCAUGGCCCUUAUGGGU